UACAGAGGUCUCAAGCGUUGUUCGGAUUCAUUGGGCGUAAAGGGUGCGUAGGCGGGUCUUUAAGUCAGAGGGGAAAUCCUGGAGCUCAACUCCAGAACUGCCUUUGAUACUGAGGAUCUUGAGUUCGGGAGAGGUGAGUGGAACUGCGAGUGUAGAGGUGAAAUUCGUAGAUAUUCGCAAGAACACCAGUGGCGAAGGCGGCUCACUGGCCCGAUACUGACGCUGAGGCACGAAAGCGUGGGGAGCAAACAGG
rnacentral:rRNA from 1 species